rnacentral:lncRNA from 1 species
CAAGAUAAUAGUGAAAUGGUAGCAAAUUUGUGAAAAAAAAAAAGAAAUAGCAAGAAAAUAGUAAAAAAUAGAAAGAAAACAAUAAAAAAGUAGCAUAUUUUUUUGCAUAUUCGGGUCUGGCCGGGCUCAGGCAAAAAAAACUUUACCCAAGGCCCAGCCCUUUUUUUUUUUUGCCUAAGCUCAUUUUUCAGGCCUAUAUUUUUACCCAAACC